UUAGGUUCACUUCAUUUAAAGAAAAUGAGUAGCAAAUGUUGUAUCAGAAUUCCGAAUUCCAACUAAUUUGGAGGCCUUGAAGAAUGGAAACCAACUCAGCUCGAAGAUUAUUUUUUUGACCAACGUGAUCACGAAACCCAUUUUUCUGAUCAUCAUUACCGGAACGAAGAAGUCCAUCAAAUCUUGUAAUUCAUGGAUUUCCAAUAGCAUUACCCAUCCAUGUUGAAAG
rnacentral:lncRNA from 1 species